AUCAUCUUCUCAAAACUUGCCUCGGAGCUUGUUGACCUUGGGCUGGGAACAUCUAUCUGCAGAUGGAUUCUCUGAUUCCUCACAAACAAGCCCCAGGUGGUGAGAGUUGUUUCUGGAUUCAUCGCCGGUGAUACUGACACAUAGCCAGUGCUCCUGUGUGGCAGGCACUGUUAUGUGCAAUCACACAAUGGCACUGCUCUUCCAAACAGCACACUACUCACAACUCAGAGUGCCGGUUGUCCCCCCUGUGCAUAGCUGCACGGAAUCUGAACAGCAAUGGCACAAGCCACGGACAGUGGGUGUGAAGCCAGGACCCAUCAACUCCAUGAUCUUCACUAAGCCGGUACCAAAUAGGAUGGCCCAGACUGGAGUACAGAGUGGCUUCUACAGAGGCACGGUGGGUCCGUUACCAGAUCCCUGCUUGUUCAGAAUAACGGAGGCAUAUGCAAAAUUUAAUAUUGAGGACAGGCCACUUGUGACCACAAUGAACAUGAGACCUGACAAGCCCCUUGUGGAAAGUGCUUUUGGGCUGGUGCAGGAGGGCAGAGUUCUGUCAUAUCAGCAGCCGGUUUUGACAACCCGGUACAUCACACUACACCGUGAUGCACCACCAACACCGCACUUGCCUCUGGAGGGGUAUGACAUCUUGCCAUCAGAUUGUGUGUUUGUGUGCUCAGAAGAAGAGCUUCUGCAUCUGAAAAGCUUGUCUGUAACUCUGGAAAUGGCUCACAAAAUAGAGGAAGCUACACGUGAGCAAAGCUCUUCAUCUGAGUGGCAUCAGCUCCGCAGGCCCAGAGUGACUGCCUCUAGGUUUCGGGAGGUGUGUCACGUCAGAGGCCAGAGCUCAGCAGAGUCACUAGCAGAGCGUAUAUUGAAGGGAGCAAGGCAGACAGCAGACAUGAGGAGAGGAACUGAGAUGGAGCCUGCAAUAGCAGCAGAGUAUAGUAGGCUAAUGAAUGUUAACUACUCACCCUGUGGUCUGGUCAUUCACCCCAUUGCCCCCUGGCUUGCUGCAUCUCCUGAUGGUGUUGUUUUUGACCCCAAUGAAUACCCCCAGUUUGGCCUCGUCGAAUUCAAAUGUCCCAAUGUACAAAACUUUAUUGACUGCAAAUAUGUGCAAAUGGAAUGUGGUACCCCUAAACUAAAAAAGAGCCACGCAUAUUACUGGCAAGUGCAAGGACAACUGCUCAUCAGUGGGAUGUAGUGGUGUGACUUUGUUGUGUGGGCAACUACCUAGUGCCAAGAGGACUACCUAGUGCCUAGAAUAUACAUGGAUACAGAUGUGCACAAUGCAAUCAGAGAAAAGGCUGACUACUUCUUUUUUUUUACAUAUAUAUGCCAAGAUACCUGUGUUUGGAAAAAUGAACAGUGAAAACAUAGCAAAAAGGAAAACAGAUUCUUCAGGCUGGCUGGAACAAAAUAACUGAUAUUUUAUUUGCAAUGUAUUUCAUGAUUUUUUUGUUGUUGUUACAUGUUACUUUUAUGUGAAAUCAAUAAACUGUUAUUUAAGCA
ensembl:lncRNA